rnacentral:lncRNA from 1 species
GGUCCGAUAAUUUAGUUUUUAGUCCAGUUUCUGUAGUGUUCCAAUUUUCCUUCAUGUCUUCUCCACAAAUUGAAUAAUGAUAGGAUCCGAAAAGCUUAUCCAAAUAAAACAGGUAUAAUGUUCCAGGUUCAAACUUUUAAGAAACUUCCAAUUUUAUGGUUCAUUACACACUUUCUUGUCAAAAACUCCAAAUAGACUUCCUUUGUAAAUUUUCACUUAAGUUUGGUUCUUUGCAAUAUUUAGUUCCAAAUGACGGUUUUUGAGAUUUGAGGUACCAAGAAUCUUUCCUCUUGCUCCACCAUCUGUAAUGCAGGAAAAAGUUCUGUAAUGCAGGAAAAGGGGGAAGAAUCGCUGUUCCGUCAGGUUGUCUCCCCUUUCCCUCCAAAACGCUAAUAAUAUUAAAAUCGGGGAACUGACAUCUUUCACUUGGGGACUGUUCUCGCUCGCUUUUAUCUAUACGGGGAUUCUAUCUUCUUUCGGAGAAUCUGGGGAAUGCUAGCUCGCUCAUGUUCAGGUCUAUGUUAUACCUUCUGCUGGCGUGUCCCUCAUCUCGGACACUUUCUCCUUUCGAGGCCUGGCGCUGGUGAAUAAAAUACAAUGAUGUUUCAAUUAUUUAUUCCAAAACAGCUAUCUAUAUUGAAGUGUGAUAUGUGAUGUUUGGAGUUGCGGUCUCCCCUUUUUAACCCCAACAUCACGUGCUGAUUGGAAUUAUUUUAUUCACCUAUGAAAUUUAAGCGUCAAUUUUGAAUUUUCUAAAGUUACUUUUUAUUGGUCAACUAUUCUCUUUUUAUGUUAUAUAUUUAUAUGAUUGGCAUAUAUUUUAUUUAGUUAUGUAAAAGCAAUUAAAGGAUUAUCAAAAUCUUUACUUACUUUACAGAAUUAUUAAGUGGACAAUAGAAACACUUAUGGGUUAUUUUCCUACGGCAAAUUACAUACAUUUUUAUUCUUUUAAAAGAUGACAGUUUAUUUAAUUUAUUUCUCAACGUCAGAUUAAUAGCUAUGAUCAAAAGAACUCUAGAAAUGAGAUUAACUAUAUUAUUUAUAAAAAGACGAAACUAUUUAUAACUUAAUCUUACGUCACCUACUUUGUCUUGGAGCUUUAGCAAUGCAAUUUAAUUCAAUUUUAUUUAUUUAAUAGUUUAUUUAUCUAAGUUUACUUUAUUUUAUUUUCUUUUUACAACAUGCAAUUUUCCAUCAUUAUAUACUCCACCAUUCUGUAAUGCAGGAAAAGGGGGAAGGAUCGCUGCUCAGUUAGGUUGUCUCCCCUUUCCCUCCAAAACGUUAGUAAACUUAAAUAUCGGGGGCUGACAUCUUUCACUUGGGGACUGUUCUCGCUCGCUUUUAUCUAUACGGGGAUUCUAUCUUCUUUCGGAGAAUCUGGGGAAUACUAGCUCGCUCAUAUUCAGGUCUAUGUAAAACCUUCUACUGGCGUGUCCCUCAUCUCGGACACUUUCUCCUUUCGAGGCCUGGCGCUGGUGAAUAAAAUACAAUGAUGUUUCAAUUAUUUAUUCCAAAACAGCUAUCUAUAUUGAAGUGUGAUAUGUGAUGUUUGGAGUUGCGGUCUCCCCUUUUUAACCCCAACAUCACGUGCUGAUUGGAAUUAUUUUAUUCACCUAUGAAAUUUAAGCGUCAAUUUUGAAUUUUCUAAAGUUACUUUUUAUUGGUCAACUAUUCUCUUUUUAUGUUAUAUAUUUAUAUGAUUGGCAUAUAUUUUAUUUAGUUACGUAAAAGCAAUUAAUGGAUUAUCAAAAUCUUUACUUACUUUACAGAAUUAUUAAGUGGACAAUAGAAA